rnacentral:tRNA from 1 species
GCCUGGUUGGCUCAGUCAGUUAAGCAUCUGACUUUGGCUCAGGUCAUGAUCUUGCAAUUUGUGGGUUCAAACCCCAUGUCAUGCU